rnacentral:rRNA from 1 species
UGCAGUCGAACGCUUCUUUCCUCCCGAGCUGCUUGCACUCAAUUGCGAAAGAGGAGUGGCGGACGGGUGAGUAACACGUGGGUAACCUACCCAUCAGAGGGGGAUAACACUUGGAAACAGGUGCUAAUACCGCAUAACAGUUUAUGCCGCAGGGCAUAAGAGUGAAAGGCGCUUUCGGGUGUCGCUGAUGGAUGGACCCGCGGUGCAUUAGCUAGUUGGUGAGGUAACGGCUCACCAAGGCCACGAUGCAUAGCCGACCUGAGAGGGUGAUCGGCCACACUGGGACUGAGACACGGCCCAGACUCCUACGGGAGGCAGCAGUAGGGAAUCUUCGGCAAUGGACGAAAGUCUGACCGAGCAACGCCGCGUGAGUGAAGAAGGUUUUCGGAUCGUAAAACUCUGUUGUUAGAGAAGAACAAGGACGUUAGUAACUGAACGUCCCCUGACGGUAUCUAACCAGAAAGCCACGGCUAACUACGUGCCAGCAGCCGCGGUAAUACGUAGGUGGCAAGCGUUGUCCGGAUUUAUUGGGCGUAAAGCGAGCGCAGGCGGUUUCUUAAGUCUGAUGUGAAAGCCCCCGGCUCAACCGGGGAGGGUCAUUGGAAACUGGGAGACUUGAGUGCAGAAGAGGAGAGUGGAAUUCCAUGUGUAGCGGUGAAAUGCGUAGAUAUAUGGAGGAACACCAGUGGCGAAGGCGGCUCUCUGGUCUGUAACUGACGCUGAGGCUCGAAAGCGUGGGGAGCAAACAGGAUUAGAUACCCUGGUAGUCCACGCCGUAAACGAUGAGUGCUAAGUGUUGGAGGGUUUCCGCCCUUCAGUGCUGCAGCAAACGCAUUAAGCACUCCGCCUGGGGAGUACGACCGCAGGUUGAAACUCAAAGGAAUUGACGGGGGCCCGCACAAGCGGUGGAGAUGUGGUUUAAUUCGAAGCACGCGAAGACCUUACCAGGUCUUGACAUCCUUUGACCACUCUGAAAUGAGACUUUCCCUUCGGGGACAAGUGAC